rnacentral:rRNA from 1 species
GACGUAGGGCGCGAGCGUUGUCCGGAUUUAUUGGGCGUAAAGAGCUCGUAGGCGGCUUGUCGCGUCGAAUGUGAAAACUCGGGGCUCAACUCCGAGCUUGCAUUCGAUACGGGCAGACUUGAGUACUGCAGGGGAGACUGGAAUUCCUGGUGUAGCGGUGAAAUGCGCAGACAUCAGGAGGAACACCGGUGGCGAAGGCGGGUCUCUGGGCAGUAACUGACGCUGAGGAGCGAAAGCGUGGGUAGCAAACAGG